rnacentral:rRNA from 1 species
GACGAACGCUGGCGGCGUGCUUAACACAUGCAAGUCGAACGAGAGCGUAGAGAAAGCUUGCUUUUUCUACAAUCUAGUGGCGAACGGGUGAGUAACGCGUAAACAACCUGCCCUACGGAUGGGGACACCAGCUGGAAACGGCAGCUAAUACCGAAUACGUUCCGAAAGUCGCAUGACUAUCGGAGGAAAGGAUGGUCUCUCUUUUUAAUCUAUCGCCGGAGGAGGGGUUUGCGUCUGAUUAGCCAGUUGGCGGGGUAAAGGCCCACCAAGGCGACGAUCAGUAGCCGGUCUUAGAGGAUGAACGGCCACAUUGGAACUGAGACCCGGUCCAGACUCCUACGGGAGGGAGCAGUGGGGAAUCUUCCGCAAUGGGCGAAAGCCUGACGGAGCAACGCCGCGUGAGUGAAGACGGCCUUCGGGUUGUAAAGCUCUGUUAUACGGGACGAAUAAUCUUGUGGUUAAUACCCAUGAGAAGUGACGGUACCGUAAGAGAAAGCCACGGCUAACUACGUG